GACGAACGCUGGCGGCGUGCCUAACACAUGCAAGUCGAGCGGAGAUAGACUGAUGGUAACUGAAGUUUGUCUUAGCGGCGGACGGGUGAGUAACACGUGGGCAACCUGCCUUGGAGUGGGGGAUAACACCGGGAAAUCGGUGCUAAUACCGCAUAACAUACACAAACUGCAUGGUAAGUGUAUCAAAGGAGUAAUCCGCUUUAAGAUGGGCCCGCGGCUGAUUAGCUAGUUGGUAAGGUAACGGCUUACCAAGGCGACGAUCAGUAGCCGACCUGAGAGGGUGACCGGGCCACACUGGAACUGAGACACGGUCCAGACUCCUACGGGGGCAGCAGUGGGGGAUCUUGCACAAUGGGCGAAAGCCUGAUGCAGCGACGCCGCGUGAGCGAAGAAGGCCUUCGGGUUGUAAAGCUCUGUCUGGAGGGACGAAGGAAGUGACGGUACCUCCGGAGGAAGCCACGGCUAACACGUGCCAGCAGCCGCGGUAAGAUCA
rnacentral:rRNA from 1 species